rfam:Xenorhabdus beddingii strain DSM 4764 Xbed_19, whole genome shotgun sequence.
AACGAGAUAACUGGCUCCUUAUGAUGACGGACAUUUUAAGGAGCUAGUGCAAACGCAACAGUUUUGUCAGGCUAUAUGUCGUAUUAUACCCAAUAGAUUUCAAGAUGCCGCCAACAAAGCGGCAACUUGAAAGACGAAAGGUAUAAGGGAUGUAGCUUCACAGGUCUGUUGCGUGUGCUUUUAUUUGAUGAAUUCUAACUGAAUUGGUAGCACAUGAACUCCAUAAUAACGAAUCGGUUACAACGUAAGCUAGGAUAUACCUUUACAC